GGUAUGUAUUUUCAAAAUGAAACUUGAAAACUGAAAAUGACAGUUAAGUGCUGAGUAUUUAAUCUCUAGACAGCCAGCAUUACAGCCAGGUCUGCUGAGAUAUGGAAAACAGAACAGAGGAACCUUUGGCUCUGAUUGUGGAUUUCAGGCUCUGAGUUUCUGCAGGCAUACAUGAAGCAGAGAAGAUAAUUACCGUGGAAGACAGUGUUAAUGGAUCCUACCAUUAAAACCUAAACAUUUUAAUAAAUUGAAUAUUUAACUUUU